AUAGUUACCUGGCGUAGGGGAUACCAUGGCCAUGCAGAAGGUUCCCCCAGGGCGAGGCUGCUCCAUUGCACUCCGGAGUAUUUUUAUCAAUAAAAAAAUCAUAAUAAAAAAUUUAUACCCGAAUAAUUAUUUUCUUUAUACCUCGAAUAGAACUUAAAAUUAAUAUUUUUAUAAUACGGAACUUCGUUCCUAUCCGAUGUCCUAC
rnacentral:snRNA from 9 species